UACGUAGGGCGCAAGCGUUAUCCGGAAUUAUUGGGCGUAAAGAGCUCGUAGGCGGUUUGUCGCGUCUGCCGUGAAAGUCCGGGGCUUAACUCCGGAUCUGCUGUGGGUACGGGCAGACUAGAGUGCGGUAGGGGAGACUGGAAUUCCUGGUGUAGCGGUGAAAUGCGCAGAUAUCAGGAGGAACACCUAUGGCGAAGGCAGGUCUCUGGGCUGUAACUGACGCUGAGGAGCGAAAGCAUGGGGAGCGAACAGG
rnacentral:rRNA from 1 species